GGGCCAGUUAAGGUUUCGACAGGGGUCUUGCAGCUGGAGAAGCGAGUCGCAUGCAGUGCGUUAAACGGCAAACUUAAAAAUAAACGCUAACGAUAAUUUAGCAUACGCUGCCUAAUGACAGCAGUCGUCCUCAGGGCACUCACACCUUGAGAUAACGGCUUCGACGAUGUGAGAAACGACGCGGGCUAAGCUUUGCCCCCGCGGGCGUAUGAUGAAGCUACCAAGCUAUGUUGGUUGUUCCUUUCCGGCAUAGUGAGGGAAAGAGGGUUUCCUACAAUAAGGAACUACACUCGUAGAAGGACAGGGAAUAGGCUUUUGGACAGGGGUUCGACUCCCCUCUGGUCCAUUC
rnacentral:tmRNA from 1 species